rnacentral:rRNA from 1 species
GCUAUACAUGCAAGUCGAACGCUUUGUGCUUAAUUGAUAUGACGAGCUUGCUCUGAUUUGAUUUUUUGAUUUCAAAGAGUGGCGAACGGGUGAGUAACACGUGGGUAACCUACCUCUUAGCAGGGGAUAACAUUUGGAAACAAGUGCUAAUACCGUAUAAUACCAACAACCGCAUGGUUGUUGGUUGAAAGAUGGUUCUGCUAUCACUAAGAGAUGGACCCGCGGUGCAUUAGCUAGUUGGUAAGGUAAUGGCUUACCAAGGCAAUGAUGCAUAGCCGAGUUGAGAGACUGAUCGGCCACAAUGGGACUGAGACACGGCCCAUACUCCUACGGGAGGCAGCAGUAGGGAAUCUUCCACAAUGGGCGCAAGCCUGAUGGAGCAACGCCGCGUGUGUGAUGAAGGGUUUCGGCUCGUAAAACACUGUUAUAAGAGAAGAACGGCACUGAGAGUAACUGUUCAGUGUGUGACGGUAUCUUACCAGAAAGGAACGGCUAAAUACGUGCCAGCAGCCGCGGUAAUACGUAUGUUCCAAGCGUUAUCCGGAUUUAUUGGGCGUAAAGCGAGCGCAGACGGUUAUUUAAGUCUGAAGUGAAAGCCCUCAGCUCAACUGAGGAAUUGCUUUGGAAACUGGAUGACUUGAGUGCAGUAGAGGAAAGUGGAACUCCAUGUGUAGCGGUGAAAUGCGUAGAUAUAUGGAAGAACACCAGUGGCGAAGGCGGCUUUCUGGACUGUAACUGACGUUGAGGCUCGAAAGUGUGGGUAGCAAACAGGAUUAGAUACCCUGGUAGUCCACACCGUAAACGAUGAGUGCUAGAUGUUCGAGGGUUUCCGCCCUUGAGUGUCGCAGCUAACGCAUUAAGCACUCCGCCUGGGGAGUACGACCGCAAGGUUGAAACUCAAAGGAAUUGACGGGGACCCGCACAAGCGGUGGAGCAUGUGGUUUAAUUCGAAGCAACGCGAAGAACCUUACCAGGUCUUGACAUCCCUUGACAACGCUAGAAAUAGCGCGUUCCCUUCGGGGACAAGGUGACAGGUGGUGCAUGGUUGUCGUCAGCUCGUGUCGUGAGAUGUUGGGUUAAGUCCCGCAACGAGCGCAACCCUUAUUAUUAGUUGCCAGCAUUCAGUUGGGCACUCUAGUGAGACUGCCGGUGAUAAACCGGAGGAAG